UACAGAGGUCUCAAGCGUUGUUCGGAUUCAUUGGGCGUAAAGGGUGCGUAGGCGGCGCGGUAAGUCGGGUGUGAAAUCUCGGAGCUUAACUCCGAAACUGCAUUCGAUACUGCCGUGCUUGAGGACUGGAGAGGAGACUGGAAUUUACGGUGUAGCGGUGAAAUGCGUAGAUAUCAUGAGGAAGACCAGUGGCGAAGGCGGAUCUCUGGACAGUUCCUGACACUGAGGCACGAAGGCCAGGGGAGCAAACGGG
rnacentral:rRNA from 1 species